CACAUAAAGACACACACACACACACACAAGGAAGAAGGUCAUGUGGCGGUGGAGACAGAGAUGGCAGAGACGCAGCUGCAAGCCCAGAAACACCGAGGACAGCUGGCAGCCACCAAAAGCCAAAAAGAUGCAACACGCUAGGAAGAGGGAAGGACAUGUUGUUCUCACCUCACAGUGAAAUUGAGGACUGAUGCUGAAGCUGAAGCGCCAAUACUUCGGCCACCUGAUGCAAAGAGCCGACUCAUUGGAAAAGACCUUGAUGCUGGGAAAGACUGAAGACAAACGGAGAGGAGGGUGGCAGAGGAUGAGAUGGUUAGAUGGCAUCACUGACUCAAUGGACACGAAUCUGAGCAGACUGACUCUGAGAGAUGGUGGAGGACAAAGAGGCCUGCCAUGAUGCAGUCCAUGGGGUUGCA
ensembl:lncRNA